GGAGAGGUCGCAUAGUGGUCUAGUGCGCCGCACUCGAAAUGCGGUGAGGUGAAAGCCUCCGUGGGUUCGAAUCCCACCCUCUCCGCCA
rnacentral:tRNA from 2 species